AAGCUCACUGAGUUUUUUUUUUUUUUAAUUAUUACCUAUUUUCUAUAUUUGUUUCAAACAGUUAAUCUGACAAGGAGAUUACUGCCUCUAGCUGCCUCAAUUUGUCUCCUGUGCUUGAAGUUUCUGCCUACCAGAUUCACAGUGGCUUCAUGAAAAUGGAUGAUGCUUAAUAUGAGAGGACAGUCUUCCUUCAACUCUUCCCUUUAGAUCAAUAACUUAGAGUCAUUUAAAACACCCCGAUGAGUAUGACCGCAUACUUUUUGGCUGAUUAGGUAUGUGACAUGUAAGAUACUUCUGUGAAACUGUUGAAGUAAGACUACAUGUGUAAG
rnacentral:lncRNA from 1 species